UCCAGACUCCUACGGGAGGCAGCAGUGGGGAAUAUUGCACAAUGGGGGAAACCCUGAUGCAGCGACGCCGCGUGAGUGAAGAAGUAUUUCGGUAUGUAAAGCUCUAUCAGCAGGGAAGAUAAUGACGGUACCUGACUAAGAAGCCCCGGCUAACUACGUGCCAGCAGCCGCGGUAAUACGUAGGGGGCAAGCGUUAUCCGGAUUUACUGGGUGUAAAGGGUGCGCAGGUGGCAGGGCAAGUCAGAUGUGAAAGCCCGGGGCUCAACCCCGGUAUUGCAUUUGAAACUGUCCGGCUAGAGUGCAGGAGAGGUAAGCGGAAUUCCUAGUGUAGCGGUGAAAUGCGUAGAUAUUAGGAGGAACACCAGUGGCGAAGGCGGCUUACUGGACUGUAACUGACACUGAGGCACGAAAGCGUGGGGAGCAAACAGGAUUAGAUACCCCCGUA
rnacentral:rRNA from 1 species